GAUGAAUGCUGGCGGCGUGCCUAAUACAUGCAAGUCGAGCGGUAAGGCCCUUCGGGUACGACGAGCGGCGGACGGCUGAGUAACGCGUGGGAACAUGCCCCAAAGUGAGGGAUAACGCACCGAAAGGUGUGCUAAUACCGCAUAUGGUCUUCGGAUUAAAGGAUUUAUCCGCUUUGGGAGUGGCCCGCGUACGGUUAGAUUGUUGGUGAGGUAACGGCUCACCAAGUCGACGAUCGUUAACUGGUCUGAGAGGAUGAUCAGUCAGACUGGAACUGAGACACGGUCCAGACUCCUACGGGAGGCAGCAGUAAGGAAUCUUCCACAAUGGGCGAAAGCCUGAUGGAGCAACGCCGCGUGCAGGAUGAAGGCCUCGGGUCGUAACUAGCUUUAUGAGUGAAGAAUAUGACGGUAACGUCAUGAA
rnacentral:rRNA from 1 species